rnacentral:rRNA from 1 species
ACCGGGAUGAGCUCAAAUUUAAAAUCUGGCGUCUUUCAGGCGUCCGAGUUGUAAUCUAUAGAGGCGUUUUCCGCGCCGGACCGCGUCCAAGUCUCUUGGAAUAGAGUAUCAAAGAGGGUGACAAUCCCGUACUUGACGCGACAACCGGUGCUCUGUGAUACGUUCUCAAUGAGUCGAGUUGUUUGGGAAUGCAGCUCUAAAUGGGUGGUAAAUUCCAUCUAAGGCUAAAUAUUGGCGAGAGACCGAUAGCGAACAAGUACCGUGAGGGAAAGAUGAAAAGCACUUUGGAAAGAGAGUUAAACAGCACGUGAAAUUGUUAAAAGGGAAACGAUUGAAGUCAGUCGUGUGAAAGGUAUUCAGCCGUCUCUGGCGGUGUAUUUGCCUUUCACGGGUCAACAUCAGUUUGAUCCGGUAGAAAAAGGCGGGAGGAAGGUGGCACCCUCGGGUGUGUUAUAGCCUCCUGUCAUAUGUGCCGGACCAGACUGAGGAACGCAGCUUGCCGCAAGGCCGGGGUUCGCCCACGUACAAGCUUAGGAUGUUGACAUAAUGGCUUUAAACGACCCGUCUUGA